rnacentral:lncRNA from 14 species
CAGACUACUGGUGUAGUCAACAGAGAGGAUUUCAGGGUUAUUGCUGCAUGGUUUAUGUGACAAAAAGUCUGGAUCAUUCUAAAAGAUUAUUCAAAGUGGAUCAGAAGCUUCAGCUUAAACACAGAUUCCUUUUUCCUGGACUACAGAGCAAAACAUGCUAUAUCAGCAACCAAUAAAAGCUUCAAAUAGGAAUGUUUCCAAG